rnacentral:misc_RNA from 12 species
UAAGAGAGACAGAGAGAGAGAGAGAGAGAGGAGGGAGGAAAACCGAGAAACCGUAAAAUCAUUUCCGUUUCCCUCUCUCUCUCUCUCUCUCUCUAUCUUUUCGUUUCU